UCAUACCAGUCGGGGUGGUAGCGGGGCCUUGUACCUGAAGUCCGCUAUAGCAGGGAUGGUAUCCUUUUCUGAGGGCUGUUUUUGUGUGGUCUGCGCCGCAGCAGGCUGUGUUGAUAAAUGGGUCUUGCGCGAUUGGCGGCUGUGAACCAUGUCAGGUGGGGAACCAAGCAGCAUUAAGCAGUUUUGCCGAUGCGCCGCAAGGGUGCCUGUUUUGAGCAGACUAUGUGGUUAACGCAUGUAAAAGCACGUUCGAAUUAAGGGUGUAUGA
rnacentral:SRP_RNA from 1 species